rnacentral:rRNA from 1 species
UACGAAGGGGCUAGCGUUGCUCGGAAUCACUGGGCGUAAAGGGUGCGUAGGCGGGUCUUUAAGUCAGGGGUGAAAUCCUGGAGCUCAACUCCAGAACUGCCUUUGAUACUGAGGAUCUUGAGUUCGGGAGAGGUGAGUGGAACUGCGAGUGUAGAGGUGAAAUUCGUAGAUAUUCGCAAGAACACCAGUGGCGAAGGCGGCUCACUGGCCCGAUACUGACGCUGAGGCACGAAAGCGUGGGGAGCAACAG